AAGUACAAAAGUACAACUUGCACAUUAAAAAAGUAGUGAAAUGAAAUAUAAAGAACAAUAUUUUAAUAAAUAUGAUAAUACUUAUUUUAAUAAAUAUGAAACAAAGAACAGUUUGAAAAAAAAAUAGAUCAAAUAAAAAAUAUAAAAAUGUGGUGUUUUACAAAACAAAGAACAGGUUGAAUUUUUAUUUUUUUUUCACUUUUAUUGGUUUUUAGAAAGUACAAAUAUGUGUUAUUCACGAAAAAACAUAAAAUCUAAAUAUAAUCUUUUCUAAACCAAACAAAAAAAACAGAUCUAAAAAAAAUACAUACACUUUUUUUUUCUUCACUUUUAUUGGUUUUUAGAAAGUACAAAUAUGUGUUAUUCACGAAAAAACAUAAAAUCCAAAUAUAAUCUUUACUAAAUCAAACAAAAAAAACAGAUCUAAAAAAAAUACAUACACAUUUUCCAGCCUAUGCAAAAAAUUGAUAUCCAAACCCUGAUUUUUUUGUUGUUGCAUGUAUUAAAGAAGUGAAGAGGAAGACAACAAAGACGAUGUGUUUUCCGGCCAAAGAUUGUAUUUCUCGGCGUGGUGGUCACCGACGAAGUGCUCAAAUCUUGAUAUUUUCUUUAUGGGUUUUGUAGAGGAGAUGGNNN
rnacentral:lncRNA from 1 species